GUGCACCGAGAUCAAGAAAGCAGCUGAUGAGAGCCAGUCUAUUCUGGAGGAAACACCGGUUGGAAAAGGCAAUGAUGAUGGUCCACUACGAGCAUUCCUCAAGCGUCAGGCCAGGAAGUUAAGGCGGUUAUCGAAUCUUCUCGGUUGCCGUGAUCCCGAAAUUGAUGAACCAUCUGCCUCUAGGUCUGGUACACCAUCAGACCCCUCAUCUCACCAUCAGAGGGACGAUGUGAGUUCCUCAUAUGCUUAUCAGGAUGAUGAGGGUGCGGUCACCCAAGAGGGCGAUGAGCUUGAUGAUGACAUGACUUUGGCAGACGCUCA